rnacentral:rRNA from 1 species
GGUAGGAUAGAGGCCUACCAUGGUGGUAACGGGUAACGGGGUGUUAGGGCACGACACCGGAGAGGGAGCCUGAGAAACGGCUACCACAUCCAAGGAUGGCAGCAGGCGCGCAAAUUACCCAAUCCCGACACGGGGAGGUAGUGACAAUAAAUAACAAUACGGGGUUCUUUAGGAUCUCGUAAUUGGAAUGAGUACAAUUUAAAUCUCUUAACGAGGAACAAUUGGAGGGCAAGUCUGGUGCCAGCAGCCGCGGUAAUUCCAGCUCCAAUAGCGUAUAUUAAAGUUGUUGCAGUUAAAAAGCUCGUAGUUGAAUUUCGGGGUUAGUAGGUUGGUCAUGCCUCUGGUAUGUACUGGUCUCACUGAUUCCUCCUUCCUGAUGAACCGUAAUGCCAUUAAUUUGGUGUUGCGGGGAAUUUGGACUGUUACUUUGAAAAAAUUAGAGUGUUUAAAGCAAGCUAACGCUUGAAUACAUUAGCAUGGAAUAAUGAAAUAGGACGUUCGAUCCUAUUGUGUUGGUUUCUAGGAUUGACGUAAUGAUUAAUAGGGAUAGUUG